UGGGGAAUUUUGGACAAUGGGCGAAAGCCUGAUCCAGCAAUGCCGCGUGUGUGAAGAAGGCCUUCGGGUUGUAAAGCACUUUUGUCCGGAAAGAAAUCCUUGGCUCUAAUACAGUCGGGGGAUGACGGUACCGGAAGAAUAAGCACCGGCUAACUACGUGCCAGCAGCCGCGGUAAUACGUAGGGUGCAAGNGUUAAUCGGAAUUACUGGGCGUAAAGCGUGCGCAGGCGGUUUGCUAAGACCGAUGUGAAAUCCCCGGGCUCAACCUGGGGACUGCAUUGGUGACUGGCAGGCUAGAGUAUGGCAGAGGGGGGUUAGAAUUCCACGUGUAGCAGUGAAAUGCGUAGAGAUGUGGAGGAAUACCGAUGGCGAAGGCAGCCCCCUGGGCCAAUACUGACGCUCAUGCACGAAAGCGUGGGGAGCAAACAGGAUUAGAUACCCUGGUAGUCCACGCCCUAAACGAUGUCAACUAGUUGUUGGGGAUUCAUUUCCUAGUAACGUAGCUAACGCGUGAAGUUGACCGCCUGGGGAGUACGGUCGCAAGAUUAAAACUCAAUGAAUUGACGGGGUCAUAGCUGUUUCCU
rnacentral:rRNA from 1 species